AGUUGGCAUUGAUACAUUGUUCAGAAUCUUUCUAAAAACCUCCGUUCUUUUUCCGACCCCAGUGACCGCUAAUUGUGGAAAACAAUGUACUGGACUAUUCAAGAAAGAAAUAUUUUGCCUGUUCAUCGACUCAGCCAAUAAGGUUUAAAGUGACUCUGAUCAUUUUAAGUGGCUCAACGAAUGUACCGUAUAAGCUAUGUACUAUUGAAGGAGCUUUAGCCGCUGCAAAUCUUAUCCUUCCUCCCUCCAGGUUUUCUUCAGUGUCGAAAUUGGUAUGGAGACGUGGAUGGAGAUUUGAGUCUUAGGAAUUUGGGAAGAGCUCAAGUGAUUCAGAAUGAAAAGACCUUGGCACAGACCUGUUAAGGAAGCUCCAUAUAAGGUGAAGAAAACAACAUGCUCAGCCAUGUCCUUGCCUUCUGCACACGGUAGUGCAUUCACUGCCUGAGAAUUCAAGGCUAAAACAAAAAGAGGAGCUUUUGUUCCAACAGAGGGCCACCGGGGUUGGCUGAGUCAGAAUACCAGCCAUGUGGCAUGUCGCAUGGGGCAAGAGCUGUGCUGCCCAUGGGAGUCCAGAGAAGGAGCACACUAAGGACCAACACCAGAGAGAAGACAGCUGUCUGCAAACCAGAAAGAGAGUCCUCACUGCACUUCAUAUCUGCCAAUGGAUCCUUGCUCUUGAACCUCCCAACCUGCAGAAUCAUGAGAAACAAACAUUGUGUAAGCCACCCACUCUACAGUAAUUUGUUCUAGCAGACCGAGCUGACUGAGCAUUUGCUCUAGGGGAAGCCUGCAGCUAUGUCAUGAGGACCCUCAACAGCCCUGUGCAGAGGACUAUGUGGCAUGAAAGAUACCUUCUGCCAACAACCAGCCCCAACUUGCCAAGCAUGUGAACAAGCUAAACUGAAAGCAGAUCUUCAGCCCCAAUCAAGCCUUCAGAUGACAGUAACCUCAGCCAAUAUACUGACUAUAACCUCAUAAAAGACCCUGAACCAGAACCCUCUAAGCCACUCUCAAACUCUACCCCACAUAAACUGUGAAAUAAUAUAUGUUUAUUGUUAUUUUGGGCCACUAAGUUUAGGGGUAAUUUGUUAUGCAGCAA
rnacentral:lncRNA from 1 species